GCUUCUAUUUUAACGAUAAAUGGUUGAGUGACGAUUGUUUAGAUAACUAUAAUAAACUGAAGAAAGAUAUCGAAGAUAUAUAUUCCGAUUAUAAAGUUGACAGUUUGAAUUACACCAUAAGAUUAUUUAUUGAAUUCUAAUCAAUUAUAAAACUGUAAAUUUAAAUCGGUUGACGGUCAAAAAGCAGUUAAAGAAAAUAUUGCUGAUAUCGGUUCUCUAAAGAUAGCUUAUGAGGGUUAUUUGCUUUGGAAGUCAGACCAUCCUGGUGCUAACGUAAAACUACCUAUAGUGGAAAUGACAGAUUUACAGUUACUUU